AAAUUCCUCAAAAGCCCAGUUGCUUCCUUCAUUUGAGUGGAGAAAAGGUCCAUCUUUUGGUGAACUUCUCGUAAAACUAUCCAAACAUCAAGUAGUUCAAGGAUAAUGUCGCUCACCAUUGAAGCAACUUCAGAUGUGAGAUUUCCUUCUUUUUGGGAGAGGAAGGUGACUUUCUUUUCCUAGAAGAUGAGCCAACAUCCAUAGGAAGAAGAUUUUUAAAAAGGUUUAAAACCAAGUAGGCAGUUAUAGAGAUGAAAGAGAACAAAAGGUAUGGAAACUAAAAAACAAU
rnacentral:lncRNA from 1 species